GGGUUGUGAGGUUAAGCGACUAAGCGUACACGGUGGAUGCCCUGGCAGUCAGAGGCGAUGAAGGGCGUGCUAAUCUGCGAUAAGCGCCGGUAAGGUGAUAUGAACCGUUAUAACCGGCGAUUUCCGAAUGGGGAAACCCAGUGUGAUUCGUCACACUAUCAUUAACUGAAUCCAUAGGUUAAUGAGGCGAACCGGGGGAACUGAAACAUCUAAGUACCCCGAGGAAAAGAAAUCAACCGAGAUUCCCCCAGUAGCGGCGAGCGAACGGGGAGGAGCCCAGAGCCUGAAUCAGCAUGUGUGUUAGUGGAAGCGUCUGGAAAGGCGCGCGAUACAGGGUGACAGCCCCGUACACAAAAGCGCAUGUGCUGUGAGCUCGAUGAGUAGGGCGGGACACGUGGUAUCCUGUCUGAAUAUGGGGGGACCAUCCUCCAAGGCUAAAUACUCCUGACUGACCGAUAGUGAACCAGUACCGUGAGGGAAAGGCGAAAAGAACCCCGGCGAGGGGAGUGAAAAAGAACCUGAAACCGUGUACGUACAAGCAGUGGGAGCACAGGUUUACCUGUGUGACUGCGUACCUUUUGUAUAAUGGGUCAGCGACUUAUAUUCUGUAGCAAGGUUAACCGAAUAGGGGAGCCGGAGGGAAACCGAGUCUUAAUUGGGCGUUAAGUUGCAGGGUAUAGACCCGAAACCCGGUGAUCUAGCCAUGGGCAGGUUGAAGGUUGGGUAACACUAACUGGAGGACCGAACCGACUAAUGUUGAAAAAUUAGCGGAUGACCUGUGGCUGGGGGUGAAAGGCCAAUCAAACCGGGAGAUAGCUGGUUCUCCCCGAAAGCUAUUUAGGUAGCGCCUCGUGAAUUCAUCUCCGGGGGUAGAGCACUGUUUCGGCUAGGGGGCCAUCCCGGCUUACCAACCCGAUGCAAACUGCGAAUACCGGAGAAUGUUAUCACGGGAGACACACGGCGGGUGCUAACGUCCGUCGUGAAGAGGGAAACAACCCAGACCGCCAGCUAAGGUCCCAAAGUCAUGGUUAAGUGGGAAACGAUGUGGGAAGGCCCAGACAGCCAGGAUGUUGGCUUAGAAGCAGCCAUCAUUUAAAGAAAGCGUAAUAGCUCACUGGUCGAGUCGGCCUGCGCGGAAGAUGUAACGGGGCUAAACCAUGCACCGAAGCUGCGGCAGCGA
rnacentral:rRNA from 2 species